AAAAAAAAAAAAAAAUCUAUAGGGAAGUAUCGGGAGUAGUAGGUAGUGAGAGCUCAACCCCAAGAAAAAGAGGGUUUAAGCCGCAGCAGCUUGAAUGGAGAGCAUGAGAUGCAUAGGCAUUGGUACUCCAAGACUGGUUACUCCGCCAAUAAUCCCCCACCCAUCUCUAAGAAAAUCCUCCAAACUCAUUUGCACCACCACCUGCUCCGCCAGCAAAUGGGCCGAUCGCCUCUUCAGCGACUUUCAAUUCUUGAACACCACCGCCGAAACCUCCUCCGACCUCCGCCAUUCUCUCUCCUCUUCCACAGCCA
rnacentral:misc_RNA from 1 species